rnacentral:snoRNA from 1 species
AGACCAUGAUGAGGGCAACGCCAAAGUAAAGCCUUAUAUCUUUCCUAAGCCUCGUACAAUAAUUCAAAAUCUAGUGACAUGAAUGAUGUAAUAUCAUUCCUUAUUUU